rnacentral:rRNA from 1 species
GAUGAACGCUAGCGAUAGGCUUAACACAUGCAAGUCGAGGGGCAUCGAGGGUAGCAAUACCUGUCGGCGACCGGCGCACGGGUGAGUAACGCGUAUGUAACCUGCCCGCAACAGAGGGAUAACCCGGCGAAAGUCGGACUAAUACCUCAUAAAACAGGGGUUCCGCAUGGGGCUAUUUGUUAAAGAUUUAUUGGUUGCGGAUGGGCAUGCGUACCAUUAGGUAGUUGGUGAGGUAACGGCUCACCAAGCCAUCGAUGGUUAGGGGUUCUGAGAGGAAGGUCCCCCACACUGGUACUGAGACACGGACCAGACUCCUACGGGAGGCAGCAGUGAGGAAUAUUGGUCAAUGGGCGAGAGCCUGAACCAGCCAAGUCGCGUGAAGGAUGACUGCCCUAUGGGUUGUAAACUUCUUUUACAGGGGAAUAAAAUGAGAUACCGUGUAU